rnacentral:rRNA from 1 species
GCGGAUUAGACCCGAAACCGGGUGAUCUAUCCAUGAGCAGGUUGAAGCAAGGGUAAAGCCUUGUGGAGGACCGAACAGUCAACGGCUGAAAACGUUUCUGAUGACUUGUGGAUAGGGGUGAAAGGCCAAUCAAACCCGGUGAUAGCUGGUUCUCCCCGAAAUAUAUUGAGGUAUAGCCUCAGGGAUUGUCUAACGGAGGUAAAGCACUGAAAAAGCUAGGGGUCCUACCAGAUUACCAAACUUUAUCAAACUCAGAAUACCGUGUAGAUGUACCCUGGGAGUCAGACAGCGGGUGCUAAGGUCCGUUGUCGAGAGGGUAAGAGCCCAGAUCAACAGCUAAGGUCUCCAAAUACAUACUCAGUGGUCAAGGUGGUGGGGUUGUUUAGACAGCCAGGACGUUGGCUUAGAAGCAGCCAUCGUUUAAAGAAAGCGUAAUAGCUCACUGGUCUAAUGACUCUGCGCCGAAAAUGUAACGGGGCUAAGUAUGUUACCGAAGCUUUGAAUUGCACUUUAUGUGUUCUGGUAGGGGAGCGUUCUCUUGUAGGCUGAAGGUGUGUCGUAAGGCAUGCUGGACGAAAGAGAAGUGAUUAUGCUGACAUGAGUAACGAUAAAACAGGUGAAAAACCUGUUCGCCGAAAACCCAAGGUUUUCCGGGUAAAGUUAAUCUUCCCGGAGUUAGUCGGCCCCUAAGGCGAGAGCGAAAGCUGUAGCUGAUGGGAAACGGGUUAAUAUUCCCGUACUUUUAUGAUUGUGCGAUGGAGGGACGCAGGAAGAUAGGCUAUCCGGCUGUUGGAUGCCGGUGCAAGUGUGUAGGAGCAGGAUACAGGCAAAUCCGUAUCCCGAGUCUGAGACACGAGUCCGUGGGCGCAAGCCCUGAAGUAGUUGAGUCUAUGCUGCCAAGAAAAGCUUCUCAGUUUAGGUCAUAAAAACCGUACUGCAAACCAACUCAGGUGGGUGGGAUGAAUAAUCCAAGGCGCUCGAGAGAAUUCUGGCCAAGGAACUCGGCAAAAUAACCCCGUAACUUCGGAAGAAGGGGUGCUCCUUAUUGUGAUAUAUUUGCUUAUGUAGCAUUGAGGAGCCGCAGUGAAUUGGUGGUGGCGACUGUUUACUAAAAACAUAGGUCUGUGCGAAGUCGCAAGACGACGUAUACGGACUGACGCCUGCCCGGUGCUGGAAGGUUAAAAGGAGGGGUCAGCGCAAGCGAAGCUCCGAAUUGAAGCCCCAGUAAACGGCGGCCGUAACUAUAACGGUCCUAAGGUAGCGAAAUUCCUUGUCGGGUAAGUUCCGACCUGCACGAAUGGCGUAACGAUCUCCACACUGUCUCGGCCAGAAACUCGGUGAAAUUGAAGUCGCGGUGAAAAUGCCGUGUACCCGCAGAAAGACGGAAAGACCCUGUGCACCUUUACUAUAGCUUGACAUUGGAUUUUGGGCCUACAUGUGUAGGAUAGGUGGGAGACUGUGAAAUAUGUACGCCAGUAUGUGUGGAGUCAUCCUUGAAAUACCACCCUUGUAUGUCUAAGGUCCUAACGUGACGCCGUGAUCCGGCUCACAGACAGUGUCUGGUGGGUAGUUUGACUGGGGCGGUCGCCUCCUAAAGAGUAACGGAGGCAUACAAAGGUUCCCUCAGGCUGUUUGGAAAUCAGCCGUCGAGUGCAAACGCAUAAGGGAGCUUGACUGUAAGAGAGACAUUUCGAGCAGAUACGAAAGUAGGUGUUAGUGAUCCGGUGGUCCCGUAUGGAAGGGCCAUCGCUCAUUGGAUAAAAGGUACGCCGGGGAUAACAGGCUGAUCGCAUCCAAGAGUUCAUAUCGACGAUGCGGUUUGGCACCUCGAUGUCGGCUCAUCACAUCCUGGGGCUGAAGCAGGUCCCAAGGGUACGGCUGUUCGCCGUUUAAAGUGGUACGCGAGCUGGGUUUAAAACGUCGUGAGACAGUUUGGUCCCUAUCUUCUGUGGGCGUAGGAAAAUUGAAAGGGCCUGUUCCUAGUACGAGAGGACCGGAAUGGACGCACCUCUGGUGGACCUGUUGUCGUGCCAACGGCACAGCAGGGUAGCUAUGUGCGGAAGGGAUAACCGCUGAAAGCAUCUAAGCGGGAAGCCUGCCUUAAGAUAAGU